CAGGCAAAUGACAGCAAGAGUUAGACUGAGACAGAUAUAGAAAGAGCCGAAAAUAAAUGGGAAAGACAAAGCAAUUGGAAAAGGUUAUUUGAAAAUAAGGGAGGUGGGACAAGGGAAGAAAGUGUGAUGGAAUGUGAAGGAAGGACCCGACAGAGGAGAGAACGGCAGGACCCUGCUCCCACAUCCUGCUCCCUUGACCCAAGCUUCUCUCAAAAUUCAUUCCCCUUGGACUGACGAUGAAGGCAUGCAACAAGUGCAGCUUAAAAGGCCCACACUCA